CGGGGUGCAGCAGGCGCGAAAACUUUACAAUGCUGGAAACAGCGAUAAGGGGACCUCGAGUGCCAGGUUACAAAUCUGGCUGUCGUGAUGCCUAAAAAGCAUUGCAUAGCAAGGGCCGGGCAAGACCGGUGCCAGCCGCCGCGGUAACACCGGCGGCUCGAGUGGUAACCGUUAUUAUUGGGUCUAAAGGGUCUGUAGCCGGCCGGAUAAGUCUCUUGGGAAAUCCAGCAGCUCAACUGUUGGGCUUUCAGGAGAUACUGUCUGGCUCGAGGCCGGGAGAGGUGAGAGGUACUUCAGGGGUAGGGGUGAAAUCUUGUAAUCCUUGAAGGACCACCAGUGGCGAAGGCGUCUCACCAGAACGGACCUGACGGCAAGGGACGAAAGCUAGGGGCACGAACCGGAUUAGAUACCCGGGUAGUCCUAGCCGUAAACGAUACUCGCUAGGUGUCGGCCACGGUGCGACCGUUGUCGGUGCCGUAGGGAAGCCGUGAAGCGAGCCACCUGGGAAGUACGGCCGCAAGGCUGAAACUUAAAGGAAUGGC
rnacentral:rRNA from 1 species